rnacentral:rRNA from 1 species
UACAGAGGUCUCAAGCGUUGUUCGGAUUUAUUGGGCGUAAAGGGUGCGUAGGCGGCGGAGUAAGUUGGGUGUGAAAUCCCGAGGCUCAACCUCGGAAUUGCAUUCAAUACUGCUUCGCUCGAGUACUGGAGAGGAGGCUGGAAUUUACGGUGUAGCAGUGAAAUGCGUAGAUAUCGUAAGGAAGGCCGGUGGCGAAAGCGAGCCUCUGGACAGUUACUGACGCUGAUGCACGAAGGCCAGGGGAGCAAACGGG